AGCAGCCGCGGUAAUUCCAGCUCCAAUAGCGUAUAUUAAAGUUGUUGCAGUUAAAAAGCUCGUAGUUGAAUUUCGGGGUUAGUAGGUUGGUCAUGCCUCUGGUAUGUACUGGUCUCACUGAUUCCUCCUUCCUGAUGAGCCGUAAUGCCAUUAAUUUGGUGUUGCGGGGAAUUUGGACUGUUACUUUGAAAAAUUAGAGUGUUUAAAGCAAGCUAACGCUUGAAUACAUUAGCAUGGAAUAAUGAAAUAGGACGUUCGAUCCUAUUUUGUUGGUUUCUAGGAUUGACGUAAUGAUUAAUAGGGAUAGUUGGGGGCAUUAGUAUUCAAUUGUCAGAGGUGAAAUUCUUGGAUUUAUUGAAGACUAACUACUGCGAAAGCAUUUGCCAAGGAUGUUUUCAUUAAUACAAGAACGAAAGUUAGGGGAUCGAAGACGAUCAGAUACCGUCGUAGUCUUAACCAUAAACUAUAGCCGACUAGGGAUCGGAUGAUGUUAAUUUUAAUGACUCAUUCGGCG
rnacentral:rRNA from 1 species